AUUCAAUCUUAAUUUAAUCCUAGUUGUAAUCUUACUUCAUUCAAACUUUAGGCCAAAACUAACUAAAUCUUAAAUCUUAAACAAACUCAAAUAAAAUCCUAAACCCUGAAUCAAAUCUUGAUCAAAAUCUAACCAAAUCUUAACCCUAAAUCAAAUCCUAACCAAACCCUAAUCCUAAAUCAAAUCCUAAUCAAAUCCUAAACCCUAAAUCAAACCCUAAUUCUAAAUCAAAUCCUAACCAAAUCCUAACCAAAUCCUAAAUCCUAAACCAAACCAUAAUCCUAAAUCAAACCCUAACCAAAUUCUAAAUCCUAAACCAAACUCUAAUCCUAAAUCAAACCCUAAUCAAAUCCUAAAAUCUAAACCAAAUCCUAAUCCUAAAUCAAAUCCUAACCAAAACCUAAUCCUAAACCAAAUCCUAAUCCUAAAUCAAAUCCUAACCAAAACCUAAUCCUAAUACUAAAUCCUAAACCAAACCCUAACCAAAUCCUAACCAAACCUUAAUUCCUAAAUCAAAUCUUAAUCAAACCUUAAUCCUAAAUCAAAUCCUAAUCCUAAAUCAAAUCCUAAUCAAAUCUUAAAUCCUAAACCAAACACUAAUCCUAAAUCAAAUCUUAACCAAAUCCUAACCCUAAUUCUAAACCCUAAAGAAAACUCUAAUCAAAUCCUAACCCUAAAUCAAACCCUAACCAAACCCUAACCCUAAA
rnacentral:lncRNA from 1 species